rnacentral:rRNA from 1 species
GGACCAGACUCCUACGGGAGGCAGCAGUGGGGAAUAUUGCACAAUGGGGGAAACCCUGAUGCAGCGACGCCGCAUGAGCGAUGAAGUCUUUCGGUAUGUAAAGCUCUAUCAGCAGGGAAGAAAAUGACGGUACCUGACUAAGAAGCCCCGGCUAACUACGUGCCAGCAGCCGCGGUAAUACGUAGGGGGCAAGCGUUAUCCGGAUUUACUGGGUGUAAAGGGAGCGUAGACGGCCAGACAAGUCUGAAGUGAAAAUCCAGCGCUUAACGUUGGAAGUGCUUUGGAAACUGCCGGGCUGGAGUGCAGGAGGGGCAGGCGGAAUUCCUAGUGUAGCGGUGAAAUGCGUAGAUAUUAGGAGGAACACCAGUGGCGAAGGCGGCCUGCUGGACUGCAACUGACGUUGAGGCUCGAAGGCGUGGGGAGCAAACAGGAUUAGAUACCCUGGUAC